UUGCCAUGGGUGGAGUUUUCUUAUAACUCCUUGAAGAGCUCCGCUACCGGUAUGUCCCCAUUUGAGUGCUCAUUAGGUUAUCAACCCCCUUUAUUUCCCCAACAGGAACUGGAAAUCGCUGUUCCCUCUACUAGAGCUCAUAUUAGACGGUGUCAGAGGGUGUGGAGAGCCGCUCGUGCAGCUUUGGAAAGAGCAUCUGAGAAAAUGUGUCGCAACGCCAACCGUCAUCGUAUUCCAGCCCCGUCCUAUAAACCAGGACAACAAGUGAUGCUUCUCACUAAGGACCUCAGUCUCCAGGACGCUCAAACACACCUCUGCUCACACUGAGCACAACACGCCCACACAGCAACAAGUCUGCAAGCAAUCACUGAUCAGCACACCUGGACUUGACGAGGGGGAGCGGCAUAAAGACCAGCGGACCCAAGGAACCUUUGCCAGAACGUCGCUAACCUUCCAUGACUCUCCUGACCUCCGUGAUCGUGCCUUGUCACUCGACACCCAUCCGGAUUCCUAACUGCCCACCUCGAUCCACGACCUCCCUGCUCGGACCCAGACCACGCUGCCCUGCUCUUGUCCACGACCACUUGCCUGUCCAUGAACUGCCUCUUCGCCUUUGCCCCCUUGGAUACGACGAAAGAUACAACAACCCUUGGUAACAUUUACAUUAUAAUUUUACACAUAGUCAACACUCACUCACUUUGAGUAGCAUACACACGCCACCUAUUCAUCUAAGGUUUUU